rnacentral:rRNA from 1 species
UACGUAGGGGGCAAGCGUUGUCCGGAAUCCUUGGGCGUAAAGAGCGUGUAGGUGGCUCGGUAAGUCCGCUGUGAAAGUCCAGGGCUCAACCCUGGAAUGCCGGUGGAAACUGUCGAGCUAGAGUCCGGAAGAGGCGAGUGGAAUUCCUGGUGUAGCGGUGAAAUGCGCAGAUAUCAGGAGGAACACCAAUGGCGAAAGCAGCUCGCUGGGACGGUACUGACACUGAGACGCGAAAGCGUGGGGAGCAAACAGG